UAUCUUAGACAUUUUGUUUUG
rnacentral:piRNA from 1 species